UACGGGGGGGCAAGCGUUGUUCGGAAUUACUGGGCGUAAAGGGUUCGUAGGUGGCCAACUAAGUCAUACGUGAAAUCCCUCAGCUUAACUGGGGAACUGCGUGUGAGACUGGCAAGCUCGAGUGCAGGAGAGGAAUGCGGAAUUCCAGGUGUAGCGGUGAAAUGCGUAGAUAUCUGGAGGAACACCGGUGGCGAAGGCGGCAUUCUGGACUGCAACUGACACUGAAAGACGAAAGCCAGGGGAGCAAACGGG
rnacentral:rRNA from 1 species